GCUCAGCUUAAUCACCUUUCAACCAAAUUUUACCUGGUUCUUUACCUGCACUAAUUGGCCAUACCAUCAUACACAGGAGGCAGCCAGCAUUCACACCAGCAAUGAAAAGAAAGUGAGUCUGGAAAACACCAGCGGAAGACAAGCACUGUUUUUCUUUUCAGAGAGAGAAGAGUAACAAUGGAAAGACAUCUGGAAGUAGUAAUAGAUGUAGGGGUCACUUAGAAAGAAAGUGAAGGAAAGACCACUGAAAAAAAAAUUAGGGAAAAAAUAUAUAUACAUAGAUAUAUAUCACUGCUGUACUGCCUAGAGUCUGUAAUAAAGCCCAGGAUAUACCA